rnacentral:lncRNA from 1 species
UGAAGGAUUCACAAAUUUUGCAACUCUCAAAAGCUUUAGAAGGAAAAAUUUAGUUUAGAAACUAACAUAUUAAUAUAUUAAUACCUUCUUUAAGCAUUAGGUUGGUAGCAAUGACAGGCAAAAUGAAGAUUUCUUUAAGGAACACUGAAAAUACAUACAUAUUUAUAUAUGUGAAUGGGGUAAAAUAAAAAAACUACCCAUUGAUGAAUUAGAAGCUGGAUGAAGAACAUCUGUUUUAACUUAGUUGCCAUCUGUAUAGUGUGAUUCCAUUAAAUUUUUAGAAAAAUAUUUUCUGGUUUUAACAAAAAAAUUAGUGUAACACUUACUAUGCCAAGAAAUGACUUAAUUUUGAUUUUAGAACUAUCAUUCUAAAUCAAAAUCAGCUCUUUAUAAUUUUAACAAAUUCAUUUAA